GAGGGGAGCUUGUCCGGUGCGUGCAGCGGCCUGUGAUGGCUGCCGGUCGGUCGGCUAGAGAAGAAAAUCAGAACCAUGGGGGGCUGUUUCGGAGGAAAGAGAUGAGUGUGGCUCAGCUAAUCUUGGUGAUGAUGAGAGGGAGAGGGGAUGGUGAUGGCUAGCUUUGGCCGUGUGUGGGAAUGGGCGGCUGUUUUUAAGAAGGAGAGAGAGGGUGCAGUGGCAGGGGCAAGGGAAGGAAUGGUCGGGUCUGGUCUCUGUUUGGAUGGGGGGUGAGCGGCGGCUUCUCCCGGGUGAAGGAGAAGAAAGCUAAGUCUUUUUUAGGGUUUUUUCUCUUUGGUGUUGCCUCCCCUUUAAUUGCAAAAUUGCCCCCCCUCAUCUUUUUGCAAGUGUUGGAAACCAGUAUUUAUAGGCAAAAAAUGUUGCCAAGUUUUUCAACUUGGUCCCUCAACUUCUUUCUUUUUUGUAAAUUUUGAUUUUUCUUAUUUUUUUGUAUUUUUUUGAAAACGAGCAAUAUCAACGUCGACUCAACGAGGAAAAUUAAUGAUUUUAAAAAUGACGCGUGAAAAGUUGAACGCGUUUGAAAAUCUUUUAAAAAUUUAAAUUCUUUUUUUUUAGACAACGUUGAAAAUGCUAAAAUGACGAAAAUAUAUUAAAAAACAUAUUUUUUGGAUUUUCUUUGUUUUUCUCUAUUUUUGAAUUUUUUUGAAAAUAUAUCAAAAACAUGGGUCAAAAAAUGGGUAGCAACAGAUGCCCCCUCUUUACAAUGCUUACGAAGCAAAAAUCCUCAAUGUUUUGCAUAGUAAGCUUUGUAAAGAAAACAAAAGGAAAAUAAUUUCAUUAUCUUGGGCGACCUGCCCACACACUCACACUAGUCUAUUUUCACGGGCGACCUGCCCACACAUACUCACUCUGGUCUAUUUUCACGGGCGACCGACCCACACUCUCACACUAGUCUAUUUUCACGGGCGACCUGCCCACCCAUACUCACUCUGGUCUAUUUUCACGGGCGACCUGCCACACAUACUCACUCUGGUCUAUUUUCACGGGCGACCGGCCCACACUCUCACACUGGUUUAUUUUCACGGGCGACCUGCCUUUUUAAUUGGGUUUACCUGAGAUCCCAUCUGGCGACCUCAUUCAAUUGGAACGAAAUAUGCGUAACUCGGUUAACCUGAAAUCCCAUCUGGCGAUUCCCUUUAACCAAAGCUACAUGAGAUCUCAUCUGGCGACCUCAUUUAACUGGAACUAAACUGUAUGUAACUCGGUUAACCUGAAAUCCCAUCUGGCGAUUCCCUUUAACCAAAGCUACCUGAGAUCCCAUCUGGCGACCUCAUUCAACUGGAACGAAAAUAUGUGUAACUCGGUUAACUUGAAAUCCCAUCUGGCGAUUCCCUUUAACCAAAGCUACAUGAGAUCCCAUCUGGCGACCUCAUUCAACUGGAAUGAAAAUAUUGUGUAACUCGGUUAACCUGAAAUCCCAUCUGGCGAUUCCCUUUAACCAAAGCUACAUGAGAUCCCAUCUAGCGACCUCAUUCAACUAGAAUGAAAAUAUUGUGUAACUCGGUUAACCUGAAAUCCCAUCUGGCGAUUCCCUUUAACCAAAGCUACCUGAGAUCCCAUCUGGCGACCUCAUUCAACUGGAACGAAAAUAUGUGUAACUCAGUUAACUUGAAAUCCCAUCUGGCGAUUCCCUUUAACCAAAGCUACAUGAGAUCCCAUCUGGCGACCUCAUUCAACUGGAACGAAAAUAUUGUGUAACUCGGUUAACCUGAAAUCCCAUCUGGCGAUUCCCUUUAACCAAAGCUACAUGAGAUCCCAUCUGGCGACCUCAUUCAACUGGAACGAAAAUAUUGUGUAACUCGGUUAACCUGAAAUCCCAUCUGGCGAUUCCCUUUAACCAAAGCUACAUGAGAUCCCAUCUAGCGACCUCAUUCAACUAGAACGAAAAUAUUGUGUAACUCGGUUAACCUGAAAUCCCAUCUGGCGAUUCCCUUUAACCAAAGCUACCUGAGAUCCCAUCUGGCGACCUCAUUCAACUGGAACGAAAAUAUGUGUAACUCAGUUAACUUGAAAUCCCAUCUGGCGAUUCCCUUUAACCAAAGCUACAUGAUAUCCCAUCUGGCGACCUCAUUCAACUGGAACGAAAAUAUUGUGUAACUCGGUUAACCUGAAAUCCUAUCUAGCGAUUUCCUUUAACCAAAGCUACAUGAGAUCCCAUCUGGCGAUCUCAUUUAACCAAAACAAAAGAAUAUGUAAAAAAACGGUCUCAUUGUAAUGGGUGACCUACCCAUGUGGAAAGAAUAUGAAAAAAAAACGGUCUCAUUAUGAUGGGUGACCUACCCAGAUGGAAAGAAUAUGAAGCGUGGUCUCAUUAUAAUGGGUAACCUACCCAUGUGGAAAGAAUAUGAAAAAGCGGUCUCGUUGUGAUGGGCGACCUACCCAAAUAGAAAAAAUGUGAAGUGCGGUCUCAUUGUAAUGGGUGACCUACCUAAAAAAUGGAAAAAAUAUGAAGUGUGGUCUCAUUGUAAUGGGUGACCUACCUAGAUGGAAAAAAUAUGAUGAAGUGCGGUCUCAUUGUCAUGGGUGACCUACCCGAAUGGAAAAAAUAUGAAAAAGCGGUCUCGUUAUGAUGGGCGACCUACCCAAAUAGAAAGAAUAUGAAGUGUGGUCUCAUUGUAAUGGGUGACCUACCCAAAAAAUGGAAAAAAUAUGAAGUGUGGUCUCAUUGUAAUGGGUGACCUAUCCAGAUGGAAAAAAUAUGAUGAAGUGUGGUCUCAUUAUCAUGGGUGACCUACCCGAAUGGAAAAAAUAUGAAAAGCGGUCUCGUUGUGAUGGGCGACCUACCCAAAUAAAAAGAAUGUGAAGUGCGGUCUCAUUGUAAUGGGUGACCUACCCAAAAUGGAAAAAAUAUGAUAUGACAAAUGUGAAAAAUAGGACUUACCUGGCGAAGUCCUGAAGGGAUGACAGAAGCAGGGCUGGAAAACUUGGUGCUUCCUGAUAAUUCCCGAUCAUAGGGUUUGAAAAACUCGGUGUUUCCUGGCUGCAAGGGUUGAAAACUCGAGGCUUCCCGGUUGCAAGGUUGAUCUAUUCAUUUCUUUGGGAUUUUCCUAAUGGUAGGGUUCAUCUCAUCGUCCUUUUAUUCCAUGAUCAAAACCGAUUCUUUAUUAUCAUCACCACAAUGCUUCUUUCUCUUUCCACCAUCUUGCUGGACCUAAUUAACGAUUUUCCUGUAACAAUUCAAAAAUAUGUGCAAAUGGUUUUUUUUUUUUUUUUGAGGUUAGAUGACAUGCAUGCAUCCUUACCUGAUUUGAAACAUAGGUCCCCACCUCUUUGAUGCUCCAUCGUCAUAGGGUGCUCUUGUUUGUAUCCCAAAGCUUUCUUUGUUCUUCCGAUGCAUUGGCUCAUUCAUGUGCUAGCCAUCCACUCAGCUGUAAAUACAAUGCAUAUCUUAGGAUGUCUUCGACGAUUACUGCUCUCGUUGUUCAUCAAGCUUGACAAUGCCCCCAAGUGUGGUGUGCUUGAUUUCAUGAAGGAUUUUCUCUCUUGGAUUCUUCUGAGAAUUAUCCUUCUGAUUGAUUGUGUGUCAUGCCAACACCCAUCAAGAUUGUUAACAGUCAUGAACUUGCCUUCGUUGAAACAAUACCUUCAAGUACAAGUUAUCACAGCCUUCAUGGAACAUCCAGUCAUCCAGACAUGCAUCUCAUGCUUUGCAGUAAACAACUCAUCAUUGUAAGCGCGAUGUAUUUCUCUAUGGAUUCCUCUUAGCUUGUCAAAUCAGAUCGUGAAAUAACUGCUUUGGCAUCAUCAAUGAUGUUCAUGUUAUCACCCAUAUUCAUGCGGUGAAGUGCGCAUUUGAGCUUCAAAUAGAUGGUCCCAUAGUCAAUCUUAGUGGUAUGCAUAUGUUCGAUGUUCAUUCAAAUGCACUCACCCGAUAACAUCUGUCAGAGUCAUAGCCAUGUUUUACAGGGUAACCCAAGAUGAAGAUAUGAAAAUAUCUUUCUAGUGCAGCGUUGCUCAUCAAUUGCUGCUGAAGUGCACUAGAUCAUGGAUUGUCUUUGAACAACAUUGCCCUAAUAUGAUCUGAAGGUUUGUUCAUCGGUUUAUACUCAAGAAGGUUUUUCCUUGUCAUUGUCAGAUGCUAAACAUAACUUUGAUGAACUUUGACGACUCAUCAUAUGAUUCUUUCUUUGCCCCAGCUGAUCAGAAUGUUGUUUGUUUUCCUUCUUAGGGUCCACUGUAUUGCCCCUAAGUGGACAACCUUUCAAGGAGUUCUGAGAAGUUGAUGUCAUUUCAUGUCAAGGAUUCCGCAAACUCAAUAUGUUCUUCUUUGUUUGACAAUCUUUUUGUUCUAGAAUCAAAUCUCACACUUCAAAGGUCAUGUCUAUUCAAAUUAAUUGUUGAAAUGAAAUCAAAGAGAUGUCUGUUUUUGAAAUUAUUAUUUUUUCUUUUGAAAUUCAAACUUCUUUGGUCAAAGACCCAACACACUAUUCAAUGCAGUCCUUUGAUUGUCUUGUAUUUUGAAAACAGAAAUGACCCGUUGUAAGAUUUAAAAAUGACUUUUUCAUGGUUCUUUGUGUCCACUUUAAACUCUGAUUUUGGGUAUAUCUUUUGAUGGUCUGCGAUGAGGUGACCUUCUGUGAAUUUGAAGGAAAACAACAGGCUCAAGUCAAAACUUGAGGAUUCAUCAAGGAAAACUGUUUUGUUUUUUUUAGCAAUAAUUUUAUCAACAUGCAUAAUGACCAGUAGCUUAAUUCAUGAAGACUCUUACGGAAAAAACUCUUCAAGUUUUGAAAGCGUCAUUUAUCGGUUCAAGUUGCUUGCUUGAUUAAAAAGGGCUUUUAAAAGCACGUAAUGUAGGCUAUGGUUCAUGGCUAUAAAAGAAAGGAAUUUCAUAGGCUCAAAAGGUGUUUGAGGGUUUCAACGACCUAGGACCAACAUUAACAAUUCAUCGAUUCUCUUUCUCUCGUCAUCAUUGUUGUAACCCAUUUUUAGGUCCCAUGAAAAAUAAAAUAAAUAGCAAAAGAGGUUAGAAAAAUAACAGGAGGCAGAAGCGCUCAGAAAACAGUCAGAAAUUGGUCAAGGAAUUUUAAAAUACAAGGAUUGAAUUUUUGACAAAUAUUCUAAAGGAUGAAAGCCCUAUUGAGAAGGAAAAUUUGAAUUUUGAGGAGAAAAGCCCAAAUUUGGAUGUUUAUGGAUUUUAAUUGGAUUUUUAUUUGAAUUUAUAGAAGAUUUGAUUGCAAAAAAAUGAUUUUAAGUCAAUUUGGGCUUUAAUUAGAAGAAUUUAAGUUCUGGGGCCAAAAUAUAUUUUUUAGGAAUUUAUUAGGCCAAAUCAGGGGCUUAAUUGAAUAAAUAUUGAAUUUAAAUGGCCAAUUAGGGGUUUAAUUGUGAAAAACCGAAACCAAGGACCAAUUGAAAAAACCGGGUAAAUAGAGGGGCUGUUUGCUUUGGAUCAGGGGCCUAAUUGAAGAAAUUGGAAGUUUAUUGAUCAAUUGAGGGCUUAAUUGCAUAAAUCAGAGGUCAAGGACCAAAGUGAAAAACGCGGCCAACAAGAGGACGGGACCGAAUUGGCAGGGACGCAAUUGAAAUGAUUAAAGAUGAUUAAGGACUGAUUUGCAAAAGCAUAUUCUGGCGCCUUUUUUUUUUAAAUGAAACGGCGCGUUUAUCCAAAAGGACGUCGUUUCAUACAUUAAAAAAAAAAGGGACCGAACGGUGCCGUUUGAACGGCACUGUUCCUCCUUCGUCUUCCUCUCUACACUCGUGGGAACAGCCACAGCUUCGCCGGAGCCGCCGUCCGUGAGCCACGACACCGCCACCGGCCUCCACCAGCGACCGCCUCCUCCAUGCCAGGUACACAUUUCAUUUCCCUCUGCAUUUCUUUUUGCUCGUUGCAGCUUUGCCUCCUGCAUGCUGCAUGCAGGAGGCGGGGGGGGAGAAAAAUAAUUCUCCCCCCGCUGGGCUGCCGAUGCUGGCCCAGCUCUGAACGUCUGGGCCGGUCCAGGCCCAGACUGAAGAAGAAUUUUCGGUUGGGCGAGUUCGGCCCAACCUUUCUUUGUUGGGCCGAGGCCGGCCCAAUUAUUUGGGCCGGCCCAGCCCAUAUAUAAUAUAUUAUAAUAUUAUAAUUAUAUAUGUGUAUAUAUGUAUAUAAUAAAAAUAAAAAAAAUAUUUAAAAAAAUCUUUAAAAAAUAUUGUUGAUUUUUCUGCAUAUUUUUGUCAAAAAUGUUUUAAUUUUGGUUUGUAUUUUUAUACGUAAAGAUACAAAAAGUAUUAAAAUACCCGGUUUUCGUCAAAACAUCAAAGAUUUUCAGAAUAAAAAAUGUUUUUGCUUUCAAAAAAUUCUAAAAAGUCCCUAAAAAUGUUGUUGAUUUUUCUGCAUAUUUUUAUUGGUUUAAUUUUGGUUUGUAUUUUUAUACCGUAAAGAUACAAAACCAGUAUUAAAAUACCCGGUUUUCGUCAAAACAUCAAAGAUUUUCAGAAUAAAAAAUGUUUUUGCUUUCAAAAAAAUUCUAAAAAUUAAAAAAUUGUUGAUUUUUCUGCAUAUUUUUUAAAGGAUUAAUAUUGGGUUGUAUUUUUAUACCGUAAGGAUACAAGCUCAGUAUUAAAAUACCCGAUUUUCGUCAAAGCAUAAAAAAAAUAAUAUUUUCUAAAAAAUUGUUUUUGUUUUAAAAUACGGCCUAGUCUCUCCAAUAUAUAUAUAUAUAUAUAUUAUAACAUAUUUUCACACAACAAAGAAAAUUUUCAAAAAAUAUAUAUAUUAACAUGCAUUUUGGCUUUAAUAACCAGUUUAUUCAAGCCAUGAGAACUAGGCCAAUAUUUCAAAAAUUCUAAAAAAUCUUUUUGUUUUAUUUUAGUAUUUGGGAUUACGAAUUUAUACGUAAAACGUAUUCCUAAGUAUUAUUAAUAAAAUUUUGGUAUGGACGUUAGAACGGUUAGGAUUUUUACCCGAUAAGAUAAAAGACCUUCUUACUGAGGAGGAUUUUUCUUGAACCAUAGACAGACCAACAACUAGGAAACACAAACACUUUAGUUUUUUUUUAUCAGACAAUAAAACAAUGCAGCUUACCUUAGGUAGGGCGUAUUUGGGGUGCUAAUACCUUCCCUUUACGCAACCAGUCUCCGUACCCGAUCUCUGAGACCAGUUAGGUUCCUAGUGACCAAAAUACUAGGUGGCGACUCCAAAGAACCAAAUAAAAAAAUAAAAAAAUUUCGCCAGUCGAACCCGCAAGAUGAUUUUUUUUUGGGGUGCGACAGAAUGGCGACUCCACUGGGGACCUUGUAGACUAAGCUUUGUUUUUGUCUGAUUUGUUUGUGUUUUCCUGUGUUUAUUGUUAAUAUGCCUUUCCUUUUAUUUAAUAUUUUUUAUUUUACGCGUUAUUAUUCAUGCAUUGUAUAAAUUGUCUCAUGCAUCACUUGCUUAAUUUUGAAAAGCACACACAAGCCUUAAGUUAAGUGGGGAAUUAGCGAUUUACCCUAAGACUAUUGGUCAGGGUUUAAAUGCGUGAAACACCCAACUCAUAUCUGAGUGCCUGCUUGGUAAUGGGGACAUACGUGUCUUAACUGUUCCUUGCAACGCCCCCAUACUUCUUUACGAAGAACGUCACUGGGCAGAUAUGAGACCCUUCAGACCAGAUAGAAAACUACCCACUCUCACUUAAUAAAUAGAGCUUGUCCUUAGGUUAUGUAUCUUUUUGCAUCAAGAUUAAUACUCAUCGCACAUCACUUGUGCAUCACAUUUUCAUCACGCAUUUUGUUAUCAUAUGCAUUACAGAUCGUGAAACAUAGGUCCUACAUCCAGAGUCCACCAAACCCGGUCCAGAUCAAGAAUGGAAAACGAAGAAAGAGCUCAUUAGAGUCGCACUACCAGACCGAGUUGGAAUCCGUGUGAAUGAAAUGUUUCUCGACUGACCAAUCUGCUUGAGCAACUUUUAAGAGCCAAGAACGGGGAGGGAACAUCUACCCAACCACCUAUAGGAGCACCGUCAGUUCAUGUCCGGGGGUAUCUCAGAACUUGGGGGCAGAUUCAGUGACGGGGCAGCACUUUGCACCUACCAUUCCCAUUCAGCCCCCUCAAGCUCACAUCACUGUGAAGGGCCUCCGAUAAUAGGUCCGGAUUUAUGAACGAUGACAAGAUAUCAGCCUUGGAAGAAAGGUUAAGAGCAGUCGAGGGAAAUGACUGGUUUGACCCCAUGCGAGCAUCUGAAAUAUGCUUGGUACCAAACAUCACGAUACCAAAAAAAUUUAGGAUACCGGAGUUUAUAAAGUACACUGGGUUGGAAUGCCCAAACACUCACCUUCGAUCUUAUUGCAAUAAGAUGGCUGAGGUGAUUCAUGACGAUAAGUUACUGAUCUACUUUUUCCAAGACAGUCUAUCGGGGUCGGCGCUAAGUUGGUACAUGAGGCUGGAUAAUGCCAAGAUCAAGAAAUGGAAGGAUUUAGUUGAGGCUUUCCUUAAGCAAUACAAGUUCAAUUUGGAAAUUGCUCCAGAUCGAACGAGCCUUAUGUCAAUGGAAAAGAGAAGCCAAGAAUCAGUAAGGGCUUAUGCGCAAAGAUGGAGGGACGAGGCCAUGCAUGUGCAACCCCCUUUGAUAGAAACGGAGAUGGUGACUUUGUUCGCCAAUACAUUCAAGGCACCCUACUAUGAGCAUUUAAUGGGUAGCUCAUCUCAACAUUUCUAUGAUGUGUACGCAUAGCGGAAAGAAUAGAGCAAGGGAUUAAAGCUGGACGCAUAAUUGAGCCAUUGGAGACAAAGGGUUUUUUCGGAAGAAAAAUGAAAGGUCCCGUUAACAACUUCGAAGGUGGGUCCAAUGACAAGAUAACAGAUUCAUAUAACCCACAAAUACCUACCUCUCAUGUGGCCCACAUAAACUUUAACAAACCUUUUUCCCCUAAUCGAGCAAAUGGCCAGUCAAACACCCAAAACAACCACCAAAGACCAAACACAAGAUACAUUUCAGAACAACUACCGCCAUUACCCAUGCCUCUGAAGGACAUAUAUGCCAAACUACUGAGCAUUGGACAAAUAGCUCCUAUCCCUACAUUACCACUACAGCCACCAUUCCCCAUCUGGUAUAAGCCCGAGUUGACUUGCGAGUACCAUGCUGGUAUUCCCGGGCAUUGUCUUGAAACGUGCUACGGUUUCAAGAACAAGUUGUUGAAGCUCAUCAAGAUAGGAUGGGUGUCAUUUGAAGACACCCAAUAUCAGUUCAAAUCCAUUGCCUGGUCAUGACAAAAGUGAUAGGGGAUAAAGGUUGGAAAACCUUGGUCAAGAGUCGUCAAUAAUGAAGAAGGCGAGAUCGAAGGAGAAGACAAGGAAACAAGUGGGGAAGGAAGAUGAAGCAUUGCCUCGGUUGACUUUCCACACACUAGAAGAAGUUUCAGAACGGGUUGACCCAAGAACUUCUCGUAGUUUUCAAAAUGUAAAACAACUUUAUUUGCCUUAGCAUGUUUUUGUCAUUUGCUUUUGUCUUUGCUUUUAUUUUCUCUAGUGGCAUCAGAGCUCAUAUUGUCAGCCAGAUUUUGUGUUUGUCUUUGAGCUUACCUUUUCUUUAAAUAAAUGAUGAGUUUAUGCAUUUUUUUAACAAGUUUGAGUGGUUACAAAUAAAGUAUCAUAAAAUGGUUUAAUAUGAAAUUUAAGAAAAGCUAACCCUAAAGUACAACCCUAUCUUGAUAGCAUAGGAUGGAUAAAUGUUUAAGUGGUCACUUUGUAAUUGUUUUUAAAGAAUAGAGUUUAUCAACCAUAACAAUGGCAUUUUGAAAAAAAAAAAAAUCAUUAUCUAUUCACUCACUAAAAGUUUAUCACCGGCUGAAUGAAUUGCUUCUCUAUAUAAAAACCCAGACUAAUAUCGCACCCCUAUACUAGGGGGCAAGACGAUGUUUUAUGAAAAGUUUUACGUGUUUAAAAUUGAUAAGCUAAAUUUGAAAACCAAGCUAAAGCAUUUGACAAAAGCAUGACAAAGGCAAAUACAAGUCAUACAUUUUGGAGAAAAGGACUACUUGAAGAAAGUCAAAGACUUCUUCUCCAAGAAUAUGAUAGGCAACACGAGAGAUGAAUCCAACAUGCGACUUCAAAAGCAAAGUUCAUGUUAAGAGGGAGUCUCAUGAACUAGAAGAAGAGGAUGGGGCCUAUGUUUCAAAACCAGGUACGAAUGCAUGCAUUGCAUCUAAUCAUAAAUCAUUGCAUGUAUGUUUUUCUUGGAUCGUUAUAGGAGGAGAUCUUAGCGCAUUCCAACAAGAUUAUGGACGAAGAAAGAAUCAUUGAGUUGAUUGUAGAACAACAGAUAAUGAUUUUCAAACCCUGCCAGCAGGAAGAACGACAUCGAUAACAUUUGGUUAAAUCGCCAAAUGGGAUUCCAAGUUGUGGAGAUCGCCAGAAGGGAUCUCGUAUUUUCGAUGGAGGUCACCAGAAGGGACCUUAAAUUUCAGCUUUCGUAUAAAAGGAAUAGCCAGAUGGGAUUCCAGGUUGUUUGGUAAAAGGAGAUCGCCAGAAGGGAUCUCGUAUUUCGAUGAAGGUCGCUAGAAGGGACCUCAUAUCUCAGCUUUGAAUAAAAGGAAUCGCCGGAUGGGAUUCCAAGUUAUUCGAGAUCGCCAGAAGGGAUCUCGUACUUCGACAUUCAUCAAGGAAGGUCGCUAGAAGGGACCUCAUAUUGAAACUAUUUCUUAGAAAAGCAUGGAGUUUACUAAGAAUUCUUCCCCUUGGGUAGGUCACCCAUACAAUGAGACCAUUAUUUUUUCUUGGGUAGGUCACCCAUACAAUGAGACCAUUAUUUUUUUCUUGGGUAGGUCACCCAUACAAUGAGACCAUUAUUUUUCUUGGGUAGGUCACCCAUACAAUGAGACCAUUUUUUUUCUGGGUAGGUCACCCAUACAAUGAGACCAUUCUUCAUUUUUUUUAUCUGGGUAGGUCACCCAUAAGAAUGAGACCAUUCUCCAUCUUUUUUUUACCUGGGUAGGUCACCCAUAAGAAUGAGGCCAUUCCUUCCCCUGGGUAGGUCACCCAAAGAAUGAGACCAUAUUUUUUCUGGGUAGGUCACCCAUACAAUGAGACCAUUAUUCCCCUUGGGUAGGUCACCCAUACAAUGAGACCAUUUUUUUUUCUUGGGUAGGUCAUCCAUACAAUGAGACCAUUAUUUUUCUGGGUAGGUCACCCAUACAAUGAGACCAUUCUUCAUCUUUUUUUACCUGGGUAGGUCACCCAUAAUAAUGAGGCCAUUCUUCCCCCUGGGUAGGUCACCCAAAGAAUGAGACCACUCUUUCCCUUUUCCACUCGGGCAGGUCACCCAUCAUAAUGAGACCACACACACAUUUUUUGUAUUGGUUAUGGGUAAAGGAAUCGCCAGAUGGGAUUCCAGGUUAAAGGAGAUCACUAGAUGGGAUCUCGGAUGGAUUUCCAUGUUGAUCAAACUAAAGUAAGAAUUCAGAGGAUCGCUGGAUAAGGAUCUCGAGAUGACUAAGUUUUGAUCAUAGUUUUGGGCUAAGGAGGAUUGUUAUAAAAGACAAAGUUUCAGAUCAAUUAAGCUUCGACCAGAUCAGUUUCGAGAAUUCCGUUUUGGGGUUUAUCUUUAUAACACUUACUGCUCAAAACCCAUGCUCCGUAAGUAUUAUAAAGAGGGGGCAUCUGUUGUAACCCAUUUUUGGGUCCCCAUGAAAAAUAAAAUAAAUAGCCAAAAGAGGUUAGAAAAAUAACAGGAGGCAGAUGCGCUCAGAAAACAGUCAGAAAAUUGGUCAAGGAAUUUUAAAAAUACAAGGAUUGAAUUUUUGACAAAUAUUCUUAAAGGAUGAAAGCCCUAUUGAGAAGGAAAUUUUGAAUUUUGAGGAGAAAAGCCCAAAUUUGGAUGUUUAUGGAUUUAAUUGGAUUUUUAUUUGAAUUUAUAGAAGAUUUGAUUGCAAGAAAAAAUGAUUUUUAAGUCAAUUUGGGCUUUAAUUAGAAGAAAUUUAAGUUCUGGGGCCAAAAUAUAAUUUUUAGAAAUUUAUUAGGCCAAAUCAGGGGCUUAAUUGAAUAAAUAUUGAAGUUUAAUGGUCAAUUAGGGGUUUAAUUGUGAAAAACCGAAACCAGGGACCAAUUUGAAAAAACCGGGUAAAUAGAGGGGGCUGUUUUGCUUUGGAUCAGGGGCCUAAUUGAAGAAAUUGGAAGUUUAUUGAUCAAUUGAGGGCUUAAUUGCAUAAAUCAGAGGCCAAGGACCAAAGUGAAAAACGCGGCCAACAAGAGGGACGGGGACCGAAUUGGCAGGGACGCAAUUGAAAUGAUUAAGGACUGAUUUGCAAAAGCAUAUUCUGGCGCCUUUUUUUUAAAAUGAAACGGCGCGUUUUAUCCAAAAGGACGUCGUAUCAUACAUAUUCUGGGCAAUUGAAAAAAUGUUUUUUUCUUCAAAAUCUUCCCGCCUCUCUCUCCUUGGACCCACCGACCAACCUGAAACACUGGACCACCGACCGAACUCAAUGGCCGACCACCGGUCACUCGCCCCGCCGAAAGCAAGGUGGCGGUGCUUUGCCUUGCAGAUGGUGGCCGACCAGCCGCCCGCGAAACCCGCUCCCCAUGCACACUAAUGAAGGGCCCAGCAACCUUUCUCUCCUAUAAAUACAGAAGAAACCGAAGGGAAAAAAAAAACCCGAAGGGAGGAGAGAGAGAGGAAACUGAAGAGAGAGAGAGACGACUGGAAAACAAAAAAACUGGGGAGGGACGUUUUCUUAAACAGAACCGAGAAGAGAAGAGAGUGAUCACGGGUUAAACGAACCGAGAAAGAAGGAACGAAAAACAGAGGAGAAGGGAAGAGAACGAAAUCUCUCUCUCUCCGCCGCCUGGGAACAGCCACAGCUUCGCCCGGAGCCGCCGUCCGUGAGCCACGACACCGCCACCGGCCUCCACCAGCGACCGCCUCCUCCACGCCAGGUACACAUUUCAUUUCCCUCUGCAUUUCUCUUUUGCUUGUUGCAGCUUUGCCUCCUGCAUGCUGCAUGCAGGAGGCGGGGGGGGAGAAAAAUAAUUCUCCCCCGCUGGGCUGCCGAUGCUGGGCCAGCCCGAUGCUGGCCCAGACUGAAGAAGAAUUUUCGGUUAGGCCGAGUUCGGCCCAACCUUUCUUUGUUGGGCCGAGGCCGGCCCAAUUAUUUGGGCCGGCCCAGCCCACAAUAUAUAAUAUAUUAUAUAUUAUAAAUUAUAAUAUAUUAUAAUGUAUAUAUGUGUGUAUAUAUUGUGUAUAUAUAAAAAUAAAAUAAUAUAUAUUUAAAAAAAUCCUUCUUUAAAAAUACUGUUGAUUUUCAUGCAUUUUCGUCAAAAAUGGCUUAAUAAUGGUUUGUAUUUCUAUAUCGUAGAUAUAUAAAUUGAGUAUUAAAAUACCUCGUUUUCGUCAAAACCUCAAAGACUUUUCAAAAUAAAAAAUGUUUUCGCUUUAAAAAAAAUUCCAAAAAGUCCUUAAAAAUAUCGUUGAUUUUCCUGCUUUUUUUUAUUAAGGUGGAUUAAUAUUGGGUUGUAUUUUUAUACCGUAAGGAUACAAACCCAGUAUUAAAAUACCCGGUUUUCGUCAAAACAUCAAAGAUUUUCAAAAUAAAAAAUGUUUUUGCUUUCAAAAAAAAAUUCCAAAAGUCUUUAAAAAUAUUGUUGAUUUUUCAUGCAUUUGUUAUUAAGGUGGAUUAAUAUUGGGUUGUAUUUUUAUACCGUAAGGAUACAAACCCAGUAUUAAAAUACCCGAUUUUUGUCAAAGCAUAAAAAAAUAAUAUUUUCAAAAAAUGUUUUUUUGUUUUAAAAUACGGCCUAGUCUCUCCAAUAUAUAUAUAUAUAUAUAUAUAUAUAUAUUAUAACAUUGUAUUUUUAUACAACAAAGGAAAUUUUCAAAAUAAUAUAUAUAUUAGCAUGCAUUUUGGCUUUAAUAACCAGUUUAUUCAAGCCAUGAGAACUAGGCCAAUAUUUCAAAAAUUCUAAAAAAUCUUUUUGUUUUCUUUUAGUAUUUGGGAUUACAAAUUUAUACGUAAAACGUAUUCCUAAAUAUUAUUAAUAAAAUUUUGGUAUAGACGUUAGAACGGUUAGGAUUUUACCCGUUAAGAUAAAGACCUUCUUACCGAGGAGGAUUUUUCUUGAACCAUAGACAAACCAACAACUAAAAGUACAAUAACACUUUAGUUUUUUUUUUAUCAGACAAUAAAACAAUGCAGCUUACCUUAGGUAGAGCGUAUUUGGGGUGCUAAUACCUUCCCUUUACGCAACCAGUCCCCGUACCCAAUCUCUGAGACCAGUUAGGGUUCCUAGUGACCAAAAUACUAGGUGGCGACUCCAAAGAACCAAAUCAUUAAAACAAAUAAAAAAAAAAUUUCGCCAGUCGAACCCGCAAGAUGGAUUUUUUUUGGGGUGCGACAAUCAUUGUAGAGAAAGUGACAUAUAACCUUGUUAAUCUCAAAUAUCAGAAUUCUAUUAACAUAGGUCAUAAUGCAAAUCCAGCUUUUUCUUUGAUGAAUAACCAAUCUAAAAAAAAAAAAAUUUGAAGACAUUAGAGGCUUUAUCCUAGACACACCAAAAGACAUGAAGCAUCGAUUUUUCUAGUGUUGACUUUUGGCAUUUAUUGUCUUUUCUCAAUUGAAAACUGCGUUGCCUCUCUUAGAAUUGAUAGGCAUUCUUUUUCCAUUUCUUUUUUUACUUGUCUUUAAGUGAAGGCAAAUUCAACUCAUAGCCUUCUUCAAAAUUUUCUUAUAUGCCCCCAGUCUAUGUGUUUUCUUCUCGCGCUCUCUCAAUCAUUAGACUUUUAUUCUAAGCCUUCCCCUUUAUCCAUUAAUUAUAUCAACGUCUUCAAAAUAUCUCUCAUUUGCCCCUAGUAUGGGGUGUGAUCCUAGUCAGGGUUUUCAUGAAAAGAUAUUUUAUUCAGCUCAAAAUGGGACUACAAGGGAUAUAAUCUUUAGAAAGUGAAGGGAUAUCAAAGAUGGCCUUUCCUCAUCUCAAGCAAGGUUGGUUAGAACCGAUAAAUUUUGACCCCAUCCAGUGUAAUGAUUGGGACUUGUAAGAAUCAUGAUUCACGAGUCCAUAACUACCGAAUCCACUACAUGUCAUUAUGCAUACUGUUAAAACUUAGCUAUAUGAUGUGUGGUUCAGUUUCAGGAGGUACGAGUUCAAAAUUGUUUAGUCACCUCAUGUUAUUUCCAAGCAUAGAGUCAUUUCUGUAAUCAAAACACUUUUAAUCUUCCGGAUUGAUUAACCUUUAUCGCAUGUUGGAGUUUGAUCAAAAUAUUUUGUCAGAAUAAAAUGUUAAACAUCUGUUGAUUUCAAAACAACAAAGAGACAAAAGCAAAACAUGUUUCAGUAAAGGAUGAGAUGUGAUCCCAAAACAAAAUGCAGAAUUCCAAAACAAUAUGAUUGACUGUUCAUCACCAUUCUUGAAUCAGAUUUUCUGGCAAUAUCAGUGUUCGGCCAAGCACUUUCGAUCAACAUGUCAUUCUGAGGAUGUUCUGGUGACAACAUGAUUGAUUCCAUCAUCUUUCACAAACUCAGCUCGAUUCUUGAAACUCUUGUGUCUGUUCAACUUAAAUGGUUCGGGAACCCUCUAUGAUAUUCACAUCUGGUUUGAAUUAUACCACGGUGGUUGCAUGAAAUUUGUCGAAGUCUGGGACACUAAGUCUGAAAUCUAGCAGUGCUGGUAAAUAAACCCAUAUGGCAAAGGAAUGUAUAUCUUUGGCAAAGACAUUGGCGUAGUUGAUGCUUGAGCGAGACUUUACCAGGCAAAAUAACUGAGGUUUCUCAAUUGAGAGUCAUCUUCUGAUUCAACUCUCUUCACGGUUCUGGAAUCCAUGGCAGAUCCUUCAAUCUUUCCUCUAUUCAUAGCUUGUUCAAUUCUUUGGCAAAUCCUCACAACAUCAUUUUAAUCUUCCAAUGUUGUUGUGGUUGGUUGAGGAUUGUUAGAAAACUUUCCAACGGCUUGGUAAUCUUGGCAGCGCCUAGAAACUUGUGGUAUCGCCACUACCGACACGUGGAAUCAUGCCUUAUCUCUUCUAUGGGAGAAAACGAUGAACAUGAAUCUCCUCUAUUUCUUCUUCGAUUCCUCUCGAAUGGUGCAGCAAACAAGCACCUAUAGAGGAAGUCCUGGUCUGUUGAAGUUUCAGUAUUCUUCAUGUUUUUUCAGUCUAGGCAUGUCUCUUCUCUCUACUUUUGCGUUUUAAUACUGAAACUGUUGGAGAAAAAUCAUAAAUGAUCUGAAACUGUUGUAUUCCUUCUUGGAUUUCCCACUUGCAGAUCCACAAAUAGAUUCCUGCCGGGAGAGCUCUGCUACGUUGAAGUUUGAUGUCUAAUCAUAUUUUUGAAACCAAGUCUGGCUCUUUAACCUGCUACAGUUUCUUCGUGCUGAAACUGAUGAGAGAAAUAUUUGUAGCAUAUGCAAUUAGUAAAUCCCCUCUUGCACUCUCAACUUGCAGAGCCACAAAUAAAUCUCUACAGAGAGAGUUAUACCACGUAGAAGUUCAGUGUCUGAUCAUGGUUUUUCAGACCAACAUCUUGUGCUGCUGAACUGGAAUUGAGCUCAUAAUUGGGGUAACUUCAAAGCAAACUAAUGCACCAUGUACAGGAGGCUAGUAAUUGUUUGGUUCCAUUAGAUGAUGUGGAGGCGAUAAACACUUAACAGUGCAACUGGACAAGAAUCAGAGUUGUCGUUAGUUGAUGACUGAAGGCAUUGUUGUUGUUGUUCAUGACUGAAAAGGAGAGAUACAACUUCAAUUGGACGUGGACAAGCAGUGUUCCCACAAAAGAUUGUGCAGACAUUCUCUUUCCAUUUGAUGCUCAACACUUGUUCGAGCAGAUCUGAGUCUAGCUACUUCACCUUUGAUGCUCUCAAACUCAAUCUGAUAAUAAGCCUCUAUCUGACAUCUUUCUUCACUUUCAUCCUUUCUUCAAUCACUUGCAGCACAGCUUGUGCGGGGAAACCUACUUUUCGACCCGGUACAUGCAUGAUAAAUGUAUGAAUAUGUAAUCUAUAUGACGAACUCACCCUUCGAGGGGUGACAAUAUGGUCGUAAUUCUUGCAUGAUGGAACAAGAAUCGUGAUUUUUGCCCAAACUCUACAAUGAAAAUUUCCUAAGUGACGGCCAAUGUGUCACCCACAAGUCUUGAGUUCAAGAUACUUCAAGAAGGGUUUGCUCGGAUGCAAAACAAUAGCACAUACAUCCUAAAGACAGGCUCUAUUCUUUUUACAUGAGACAAAGGGUAGGUUUGCUACUUGGUCUCUAAAAAGAUCUCUUGUUGUCCCAGUGAUCGCCCUCGUAAAGGCAAUAUAGGGGCCCAGUAGGUAAUGGGUUGGCACGUGUCCAACUAUUACCAGUCUAAGCACUCAACAAAGAGUUGGGGUUUACACAAACUUAAACCUUGACUCAAGUCGUAAGGUAAGCUGCUAGUCCCCCACCUAACCUAAAGCUGGUGUGUGCUUUCAAAAAUUAAAACUUGUGAUGCAUGAGAGAAUUAUAUACAAUGCAUGAAUAAAACACAAAUAAAAUAAAACAAAGUACAAAAAAAUAAAUCAAACACAUCAAAACACAAAGCUUAGUCCGAUAAAGUUGAAAACAAUACCCUUCCCUAGUGGAGUCGCCAUUCUGUCGCACCCCAAAAAAAAUCAUGGCGCGCGACAUCGGCUGGUGAUUUUUAUCAUUUGUGUUUUGCUUGAAUCGGUUUGUUGGGAGUCGCCACCUAGUAAUUCAUUGAGGGCUACUAGGAAACCUGAUGUACUGGUCUUGUCAGAGAUCGCGGGUAAGGGACUGGUUGUGGUUAUGGAAGGUAUUAGCACCCCUAACACACCCUACCUGAGGUAAGCUGCUUUGUGUUAUGAUAUGAUUUGAAAAUUUCAAAUAUUAAUUAAAUUCUAAGGCUUGAAUAAAUCAGUUAUUAAAUCCCCGAAUAUAUGUAAAAACUUGUUCUUAUAUUUUCAUGGAAAAUACAACUUGAUUUUAUUUGUCCUUGAGAUAUUUAAUCAUAUUUAAGAAAAAUUUAAAAUAUUAAUUAAAUUCUAAGGCUUGAAUAAAUUCAGUUAUUAAAUCCCCGAAUAUAUGUAAAAAACUUGUUCUUAUAUUUUCGUGGAAAAUACAACUUGAUUUUAUUUGUCCUUGAGAUAUUUAACUAUAUUUAAAUUAACAAUUAAUUUUUUUUGUCCUUUUUUUUAUAUAAUUCAAUAACAUAACUAAAAAAAACAAACACACACACAACUUUCUUUUUAUCAUUUAUUUUUCUUUUCUUCUUCUUUUUUUUUACAUCACCAUACAAAUACAAAUACAAAUACAAAAUCAAAAUCAAAACAAAUAAAUAAAAAUUACAUUAAUUAAUUUAAAAAUUACAAAAUAGUCCCUAAAACUCCAGAAAUUGCAUUGAAGACCUUCUAGCGCCGCAGCAACACUGCUGGAACAGUGGCGGCGCGUCUUCCCACGCGCCGCCGUCACUGGCGGCGCGUGGGUUCACUCGCCGCCGACCAUGCUGGAAACGGGCGGAUCUGCCCUGUUUUCUCCUUCUCUUCCCCUCCCUGCCAGCUGUGGGGAACGCCUUCACCUGCAACACCAGAAAUACACACAACACAAUCGGUUUCAAUUUUUUCUUAAUUUUCUCAGAUUUUUUAGUUUCCUCCUCUGUGGCAGAUCUGGUUGUGAGGCGUCUUCGGUGCUGAUGGCUGUUGGAUCUCGGCGUGUGGGCCGCUGGCGAGGACGGCGCUGCUGCUGCUAGCGGUGGAGAUAGGAGCCGCUGUCGAAGGGAACCGAUCUGCGGUUCUGUUGUGCCACUGGGGGAGGAGCUGGAGCUGCUGUGGAGAUAUCACCGGAGAAGGCCGGUCUGUGGUUCUGGUGAUGACGGGGACGACUCUGUGGGCGCUGCUGUGCCCAACGGAGGGGAGCUUGUCUGGUGCGUGCAGCGGCCUGUGAUGGCUGCCGGUCGGUCGGCUAGAGAAGAAAAUCAGAACCAGGGGGGUUGUUUCGGAGGAAAGAGAUGAGUGUGGCUCAGCUAAUCUUGGUGAUGAUGAGAGGGAGAGGGGACGGUGAUGGCUAGCUUUGGCCGUGUGUGGGAAUGGGCGGCUGUUUUUGAGAAGGAGAGAGAGGGUGCAGUGGCGGGGG
rnacentral:lncRNA from 1 species